CGUGUAGGCGGAUUAAUAAGUUUGAAGUGAAAUCCUAUAGCUUAACUAUAGAACUGCUUUGAAAACUGUUAAUCUAGAAUGUGGGAGAGGUAGAUGGAAUUUCUGGUGUAGGGGUAAAUCCGUAGAGAUCAGAAGGAAUACCGAUUGCGAAGGCGAUCUACUGGAACAUUAUUGACGCUGAGAUGCGAAAGCGUGGGGAGCAAACA
rnacentral:rRNA from 1 species